GACGAACGCUGGCGGCGUGCUUAACACAUGCAAGUCGAACGGAAAGGCCCUGCUUGCAGGGUGCUCGAGUGGCGAACGGGUGAGUAACACGUGGGUGAUCUGCCCCUUACUUUGGGAUAAGCCUGGGAAACUGGGUCUAAUACUGGAUAGGACCAUGCUGUAGGUGGUGUGGUGGAAAGAUUAGUUUCGGUAAGGGAUGAGCUCGCGGCCUAUCAGCUUGUUGGUGGGGUAAUGGCCUACCAAGGCGUCGACGGGUAGCCGGCCUGAGAGGGUGGACGGCCACAUUGGGACUGAGAUACGGCCCAGACUCCUACGGGAGGCAGCAGUGGGGAAUAUUGCACAAUGGGCGCACGCCUGAUGCAGCGACGCCGCGUGGGGGAUGACGGCCUUCGGGUUGUAAACUCCUUUCAGCCAUGACGAAGCCCUUGUGGUGACGGUAGUGGUAGAAGAAGCACCGGCUAACUACGUG
rnacentral:rRNA from 1 species